CCUCUUUUAAUGUGAUGUCGACAGGGUUUUCUGUGAUCAUCUGCAGCGCUGCAGCGUCACAGGAUCAAGCACCGUAUCCAGGCAAAUGACAACAAACCCUCCAGGAAACACCGGCUUCAACACAAGGUUGAACCUGAACAUGUACAGACACGAGCGAGAAAGCAGUUUCUCUUCUUCGUCUCUCUUCGCAGGAAUGCUGAUAAUGUUUAUCACGCACAAAUAUAUCUGACAGCAGCUAUCAGAAAUUAAAGCUUCUGGCCAGUACAAGGGUUUUUGAGUUACUAAAACAAAAA